AAGCGACGCAGCGGUUAGCGCAGGCGACUCAAAAUCGUGUUCCCUCCGGGAAUGAGGGUUCGAUUCCCUCCUUCG
rnacentral:tRNA from 1 species